rnacentral:rRNA from 1 species
GACGAACGCUGGCGGCGUGCUUAACACAUGCAAGUCGAACGGAAAGGCCCUGCUUUUGUGGGGUGCUCGAGUGGCGAACGGGUGAGUAACACGUGAGUAACCUGCCCUUGACUUUGGGAUAACUUCAGGAAACUGGGGCUAAUACCGGAUAGGAGCUCCUGCUGCAUGGUGGGGGUUGGAAAGUUUCGGCGGUUGGGGAUGGACUCGCGGCUUAUCAGCUUGUUGGUGGGGUAGUGGCUUACCAAGGCUUUGACGGGUAGCCGGCCUGAGAGGGUGACCGGCCACAGUGGGACUGAGAUACGGACCAGACUCCUACGGGAGGCAGCAGUGGGGAAUAUUGCACAAUGGGCGGAAGCCUGAUGCAGCAACGCCGCGUGCGGGAUGACGGCCUUCGGGUUGUAAACCGCUUUCGCCUGUGACGAAGCGUGAGUGACGGUAAUGGGUAAAGAAGCACCGGCUAACUACGUG